rnacentral:rRNA from 1 species
CACGGGGGGAGCAAGCGUUGUUCGGAAUUACUGGGCGUAAAGGGCCAGUAGGCGGCCAACUAAGUCCGACGUGAAAUCCCCAGGCUUAACCUGGGAACUGCGUCGGAUACUGGAUGGCUUGAAUUCGGGAGAGGGAUGCAGAAUUCCAGGUGUAGCGGUGAAAUGCGUAGAUAUCUGGAGGAACACCGGUGGCGAAGGCGGCAUCCUGGACCAUUAUUGACGCUGAGGAGCGAAAGCCAGGGGAGCAAACGGG